rnacentral:misc_RNA from 1 species
AUCAAUUCUGGGCAUUGCCUUCAUUUUGCUCAUUGGAUGUUCAAAGCUCAUCAACCCUUGUUCGCUGUGGAACAUGCACCCAGAUGGAAAUGGUGCAAAUGACUUGGCACAACUUCCUUUAAUGAUCUCCAAGUUGUUGGAUAUCACCACCGAUCCAUCACCAGCAAUCCCCCAGAAUAGCCCCACACCUUCAUUUGCACCCAGGGCAGCAAAGACAUGUCC